GUCCAGUGAUGAUACCAAGGCGAAUGCGAACCUACUGGAUGCGAGUCUGAGUUCUCCUGUGUUCAUUUUGGCUGGUAAUCUUGACAGAGCAGCGGAGAUUUGCUGCUUUGUUGUAAGGGCCAGCCUACAGUCACGAAGCCACUUCCCCUAACCCUCUUCUCUAGUGUAAUGCUGGAGAGGGUGUGAAAGGGCCGACAGUGUAUACGAGGCAUGUGUGUGAGAGAAUCUCAACUCCGCGUUAUCCAGUUGUCUAUGAGCUGCAUCUUUGGUAAUCUGAGGGUG